rnacentral:lncRNA from 1 species
AGUUCGGGAGCGUGGAAGCUGGCAGCCGGCUGCUUAGACAGUGCGAGGCACUGACGCGAAUCUGAGUGCCAGGGCAGAGUCCCCUACGCGGCUGUCGUGGUCUCUGGUCUUGCAGAUGCGAAAUUGCGCUUCCCCCGCAGUCCCGGAGCGCGCAGAGCCUGCAGCCUCCAGUAGCAGCUCGACCCUUGCCCCAGACGAACGACCGCCAGGAACGGAAUGUGGGAAGGACGUGUGCAACCGGGUGGCUGCCUGUCUGCAGUGGGCUGAUUCGCUGUCUUCCACGUGACUCGGGACCUUGGUAGGGCGUGCACAGACCUGCCUGUCUGCAGUGGGCUGAUUCGGCAUCUUCUGCGCGACUCAGGACCUCGGUAGGGCAUGCACAGACCUGUCUGUCUAGGUUGCCAAAUUUAUUGCCUUGAGAGCUACCUGGGUGACUGGUAAAGUGCACUUCUGUGUAUGUCUGUGUGGGCCAUGGAAGAGUGACCUUGGGUGCUAUGUCUGGUCCCUGGCCCCUUCCUCUCUGGUGCUGUUCUACUGCUUUGCUUCUCAACCACCACAAACUGAGCAGCUUUCCUCUGCCAUGCCCUUCCGCCAUGAUGUUUCAGCCUUGGAGCCAGCCUAUCUCAGACUGAAUCCUCUGAAACUGUGAGCCACAAUAAACCUGUCCUGUAUUUUCUGAGUGUCAGGUACUUUGUACCACAAUGAGAAAGAUGAUUACUCUAGCUGUUAAUUUGAAUGAGGAUGAGAGUCCCCUCUUACUCAUAAAAAGUCAGU